AUUGAACGCUGGCGGCAUGCUUUACACAUGCAAGUCGAACGGCAGCGGGGUAGUGCUUGCACUACUGCCGGCGAGUGGCGAACGGGUGAGUAAUAUAUCGGAACGUACCGAGUAAUGGGGGAUAACCAAUCGAAAGAUUGGCUAAUACCGCAUACGUCCUACGGGAGAAAGCGGGGGAUCGCAAGACCUCGCGUUAUUCGAGCGGCCGAUAACUGAUUAGCUAGUUGGUGGGGUAAAGGCCUACCAAGGCGACGAUCAGUAGCGGGUCUGAGAGGACGAUCCGCCACACUGGGACUGAGACACGGCCCAGACUCCUACGGGAGGCAGCAGUGGGGAAUUUUGGACAAUGGGGGCAACCCUGAUCCAGCCAUGCCGCGUGUAUGAAGAAGGCCUUCGGGUUGUAAAGUACUUUUGUUAGGGAAGAAAAGGGAAGUGCUAAUACCACUUUUUGCUGACGGUACCUAAAGAAUAAGCACCGGCUAACUACGUGCCAGCAGCCGCGGUAAUACGUAGGGUGCGAGCGUUAAUCGGAAUUACUGGGCGUAAAGCGAGCGCAGACGGUUAUUUAAGCAGGAUGUGAAAUCCCCGGGCUUAACCUGGGAACUGCGUUCUGAACUGGAUAGCUAGAGUGUGUCAGAGGGGGGUAGAAUUCCACGUGUAGCAGUGAAAUGCGUAGAGAUGUGGAGGAAUACCGAUGGCGAAGGCAGCCCCCUGGGAUAACACUGACGUUCAUGCUCGAAAGCGUGGGUAGCAAACAGG
rnacentral:rRNA from 1 species